rnacentral:rRNA from 1 species
GAUGAACGCUAGCUACAGGCUUAACACAUGCAAGUCGAAGGGAAACGACAUUGAAGCUUGCUUCGAUGGUCGUCGACCGGCGCACGGGUGAGUAACGCGUAUCCAACCUGCCUCUGACCAAGGGAUAACCCGUCGAAAGUCGGCCUAAUACCUUAUGCAGUCGUCGGAAGUCAUCUGAUGACGACGAAAGAUUUCAUCGGUGAGAGAUGGGGAUGCGUCUGAUUAGCUUGUUGGCGGGGUAACGGCCCACCAAGGCAACGAUCAGUAGGGGUUCUGAGAGGAAGGUCCCCCACAUUGGAACUGAGACACGGUCCAAACUCCUACGGGAGGCAGCAGUGAGGAAUAUUGGUCAAUGGGCGAGAGCCUGAACCAGCCAAGUAGCGUGCAGGAUGACGGCCCUAUGGGUUGUAAACUGCUUUUAUGCGGGGAUAAAGUGAGGGACGUGUCCUUCAUUGCAGGUACCGCAUGAAUAAGGACCGGCUAAUUCCGUG